UGGGGAAUUUUGGACAAUGGGCGAAAGCCUGAUCCAGCAAUGCCGCGUGUGUGAAGAAGGCCUUCGGGUUGUAAAGCACUUUUGUCCGGAAAGAAAUCCUUGGGCUCUAAUACAGUCGGGGGAUGACGGUACCGGAAGAAUAAGCACCGGCUAACUACGUGCCAGCAGCCGCGGUAAUACGUAGGGUGCAAGCGUUAAUCGGAAUUACUGGGCGUAAAGCGUGCGCAGGCGGUUUGCUAAGACCGAUGUGAAAUCCCCGGGCUCAACCUGGGAACUGCAUUGGUGACUGGCAGGCUAGAGUAUGGCAGAGGGGGGUAGAAUUCCACGUGUAGCAGUGAAAUGCGUAGAGAUGUGGAGGAAUACCGAUGGCGAAGGCAGCCCCCUGGGCCAAUACUGACGCUCAUGCACGGAAGCGUGGGGAGCAAACAGGAUU
rnacentral:rRNA from 1 species